AUGAAAAAUAAUAAUAAUGAAACAUAAAAUUUUAUUUAUUUCCUAUUUUAAUUCGCCCAGCAAAGUGGGCGGGAAACGGCUAGUAUUAUAUAAAGUGUUUUAUUCCGAUUACUAUCUACAUAGCAUUUAAUACUGCAUAGUAUUAGAUGACAGACUUUUUUGUUUCAAAUUGUGGUCUUUGGUGAAAUUGUAAACAUGUUGUUUACAAUUUCGGUGUGAUCGUGAGAGCUUGGAAAUUCCGUGUUUUGUUUUAUUGUAAAUGGUUAGGUUAGGUUAGUAAUAAUUUUAAUUGUGUUUGUAAGCAUAUUUUUCAUUUGUAUCGUUCAUUUUUAUUUUGUUGUUGAAGAUGUUUUAUAGUUCCUUUUUGUAUGCCUUGUCUCGCCCAUACAACUUUUGUGAAAUAGGUUAUAUCUAGUUUAUACUUAGGUUGAGAAAUAAUACUUAUGUAUUAAUAAACAAAUGUACCAAAUAUAUGCAGCUGAGCAGGUUUUUUUUUUUAAAUUAAAGAAACAGAA